rnacentral:rRNA from 1 species
UACGAAGGUGGCGAGCGUUGUUCGGAUUUACUGGGCGUAAAGAGCACGUAGGCGGUUUAGUAAGCCCCUUGGGAAAGCUAUGGGCUUAACCCAUAAAGGUCGAGGGGGACUGCUAAGCUAGAGGGCGGGAGAGGAGCGCGGAAUUUCCGGUGUAGCGGUGAAAUGCGUAGAUAUCGGGAAGAAGGCCGGUGGCGAAGGCGGCGCUCUGGAACGUCUCUGACGCUGAGGUGCGAAAGCGUGGGGAGCAAACAGG